UGCUUGCAUCAUGAUUUACAUUUGAGUGAGUGGCGAACUGGUGAGUAACACGUGGGAAACCUGCCCAGAAGCGGGGGAUAACACCUGGAAACAGAUGCUAAUACCGCAUAACAACUUGGACCGCAUGGUCCGAGUUUGAAAGAUGGCUUCGGCUAUCACUUUUGGAUGGUCCCGCGGCGUAUUAGCUAGAUGGUGAGGUAACGGCUCACCAUGGCAAUGAUACGUAGCCGACCUGAGAGGGUAAUCGGCCACAUUGGGACUGAGACACGGCCCAAACUCCUACGGGAGGCAGCAGUAGGGAAUCUUCCACAAUGGACGAAAGUCUGAUGGAGCAACGCCGCGUGAGUGAAGAAGGGUUUCGGCUCGUAAAACUCUGUUGUUAAAGAAGAACAUAUCUGAGAGUAACUGUUCAGGUAUUGACGGUAUUUAACCAGAAAGCCACGGCUAACUACGUGCCAGCAGCCGCGGUAAUACGUAGGUGGCAAGCGUUGUCCGGAUUUAUUGGGCGUAAAGCGAGCGCAGGCGGUUUUUUAAGUCUGAUGUGAAAGCCUUCGGCUCAACCGAAGAAGUGCAUCGGAAACUGGGAAACUUGAGUGCAGAAGAGGACAGUGGAACUCCAUGUGUAGCGGUGAAAUGCGUAGAUAUAUGGAAGAACACCAGUGGCGAAGGCGGCUGUCUGGUCUGUAACUGACGCUGAGGCUCGACAGUAU
rnacentral:rRNA from 1 species